rnacentral:rRNA from 1 species
GAUGAACGCUGGCGGCGUGCCUAAUACAUGCAAGUCGAGCGAACAGACGAGGAGCUUGCUCCCCUGACGUUAGCGGCGGACGGGUGAGUAACACGUGGAUAACCUACCUAUAAGACUGGGAUAACUUCGGGAAACCGGAGCUAAUACCGGAUAAUAUAUUGAAUCGCAUGGUUCAAUAGUGAAAGACGGUUUUGCUGUCACUUAUAGAUGGAUCCGCGCCGCAUUAGCUAGUUGGUAAGGUAACGGCUUACCAAGGCAACGAUGCGUAGCCGACCUGAGAGGGUGAUCGGCCACACUGGAACUGAGACACGGUCCAGACUCCUACGGGAGGCAGCAGUAGGGAAUCUUCCGCAAUGGGCGAAAGCCUGACGGAGCAACGCCGCGUGAGUGAUGAAGGUCUUCGGAUCAUAAAACUCUGUUAUUAGGGAAGAACAAAUGUGUAAGUAACUAUGCACGUCUUGACGGUACCUAAUCAGAAAGCCACGGCUAACUACGUG